rnacentral:rRNA from 1 species
AGACGUUUGAUCCUGGCUCAGACGACGCUGGCGGCAGGCCUAACACAUGCAAGUCGAGCGGACCCUUCGGGGUUAGCGGCGGACGGGUGAGUAACGCGUGGGAAUAUGCCCUUCUCUACGGAAUGGUCCUGGGAAACUGGGGUAAUACCGUAUACGCCUUUGGGGAAAGAUUUAUCGGGGAAGGAUUAGCCCGCGUUGGAUUAGGUAGUUGGUGGGGUAAUGGCCUACCAAGCCGACGAUCCAUAGCUGGUUUGAGAGGAUGAUCAGCCACACUGGGACUGAGACACGGCCCAGACUCCUACGGGAGACAGCAGUGGGGAAUCUUAGACAAUGGGGGCAACCCUGAUCUAGCCAUGCCGCGUGAGUGAUGAAGGCCUUAGGGUUGUAAAGCUCUUUCAGCUGGGAAGAUAAUGACGGUACCAGCAGAAGAAGCCCCGGCUAACUCCGUG